AGAGUUUGAUCCUGGCUCAGGAUCAACGCUGGCGGCGUGCCUAAUGCAUGCAAGUCGAGCGCGGGCCCUUUCGGGGGUGCUGCGCGGCGGACGGGUGCGUAACACGUGGGCAACCUGCCCUGGGGUGGGGGAUAGCCGUGGGAAACCGCGGGUAAUUCCGCAUACGAGCGUCUCUCGAGGGGAGAGGUGCUGAAAGGGAGCAAUCCCGCCCGAGGAGGGGCCUGCGGCCGAUUAGCUAGACGGUGGGGUAACGGCCUACCGUGGCGAUGAUCGGUAGCUGGUCUGAGAGGACGGCCAGCCACACGGGGACUGAGACACGGCCCCCGACUCCUACGGGAGGCAGCAGCAAGGAAUCUUCCGCAAUGGGGGGCAACCCUGACGGAGCAACGCCGCGUGGGGGAUGACGCGCUUCGGCGUGUAAACCCCUUUUCUUCGGGAAGAAGGGCUUCGGUCUUGACGGUACCGGAGGAAGAAGGACCGGCUAACUACGUGCCAGCAGCCGCGGUAAUACGUAGGGUCCAAGCGUUGUCCGGAGUUACUGGGCGUAAAAGCGCGCGCAGGCGGCGGUGCUGGCCCGGCGUGAAAGCCCCCGGCUCAACCGGGGAGGGUCGUCGGGGACCGCACCGCUUGAGGGCGGUAGGGGCUGGUGGAAUGCCUGGUGUAGUGGUGAAAUGCGUAGAGAUCAGGCGGAACACCCGUGGCGAAGGCGGCCAGCUGGGCCGUCCCUGACGCUGAGGCGCGAAGGCGUGGGGAGCGAACGGGAUUAGAUACCCUAGUAGUCC
rnacentral:rRNA from 1 species